GAGCGAACUUCGGGUUAGCGGCGAACGGGUUGAGUAACANCGUGAGCAACCCUGCCCUNNUGGCUCUGGGAUAGCCUCCGGAAACGGGGAUUAAUACCGGAUAGGACCUCUGGUCUCAUGACUGGGGGUGGAAAGUUUUUCGGCCAGGGAGGGGCUCGCGGCCUAUCAGCUUGUUGGGGGGGUGACGGCCCACCAAGGCGACGACGGGUAGCCGGCCUGAGAGGGCGGCCGGCCACACUGGGACUGAGACACGGCCCAGACUCCUGCGGGAGGCAGCAGUGGGGAAUAUUGCGCAAUGGGGGGAACCCUGACGCAGCGACGCCGCGUGCGGGAUGAAGGCCUUCGGGUUGUAAACCGCUUUCAGCAGGGGCGAAUCAAGACGGUACCUGCAGAAGAAGCGCCGGCUAACUACGUGCCAGCAGCCGCGGUAAU
rnacentral:rRNA from 1 species